ACCUGGUUGAAGGUUCACCUUCCAACAGGACAUCAACCCUAAGCAAACAAGUCUCUGACUGUCCAUGAGUGGGCCAGCAAUAGCCUGGACUUUAACCCGAUCAAACAUCUCUGGAGAGACCUGAAAAUAGCUGUGCAGCGAUCCAAUAGCUGUUCUCCCAACCUGACAGAGUUUGAGAGGAUCUGCAGAGAAGAAUGGGAUAAACUCCACAAAUACAGGUGUGCCAAGCGUAUGGAAGUAGCCAAGAAGACUCGAGGCUGUAAUUGCUGCCAAAGGUGCUUCAACAAGGCUAGUCCUCUGAAAGGUUCUGUAGUCCCGGUGAAUGCGACCUGCAUCGAUAGAGAGACAGCCCAUAGGGGCAAAGCACACAAGAAACAUGGAGGAAGCCCAAAUAAGUGCCAAUCCAGCCCACUGAUUUUGUAGUGAGGGGUGAGGAGGGAGGAAAGGAGGAAAGGAGGAAAGCAGUGAUGGAGUUGGGAUUGCUCAGGACUUCUCCAUUUUAAACCCGGACUGCUCGGGGAAACUCACUGAGAACUGGAUCGCCGUCUCCAAGGACAAAACUUCACAUCGCCAGCCAAGAGAAGCAUGCCCAAGAUGUUCUGCAGAUACAAAAUGGUGUAAUCACUUUAAGACAUCUGCCAGUGGUCCUCCCAACACCAGUCUACAAGAUAGGCAGGAAGACCUUCUGACCCACCUUCGAAGAAACCAGAAAGUCCUUCAUUGACUUGCAGCCUGUUGGGACCAACAUGGUUGAGUACCUGAGCCAGGCGGAGGUGACCAGAUCCUACAGAUGUAUGUUGGCUCUUGGGGACUGACCACAGGUUUUACAGUCAUUAGUGGACAGGUAUUGGAGCAAGGUAGAGUGCAUUCGGUAAGUAUUCAGACCCAAUGACUUUUUCCACAAUUGUUUAAGUUACAGUCUUAUUCUAAAUGGAUUAAAUACAUGUUUUUCCUCAUCAAUCUACACACAAUACUCACUAUCAUCUCUUCCCUCUGCUCAAACCUUCUCCAACCUAUCUCCUGAUUCUGCCUCCUCAACCCUCCUCUCCUCCCUCUCUGCAUCCUUUGAUUUCCUCUGUCCCCUAUCCUCCAGGCCGGCUCG